ensembl:piRNA 21ur-312 ncRNA
UGUUCCAAGCAUGUGUGAUGG